UCAACAACUAUAAAUGUUUUCCAGAGGUGAGC
rnacentral:piRNA from 1 species